GAAAAGAAGUUCGAGGUGACAGUUCAGAAGGUCGAAGAAUAGAAACAACAAGCUAGGAGGUCGUAGAACAGAAUCAACUAGUCAGGAGGUCGCAGAACAAAAACAACAAGUCAGGGGGUCGUAGAACAAAAACAACAAGUCAGGAGGUCACAGAACAAAAACAACAAGUCAGGAGGUCGUAGAACAAAAACAACAAACUAGGAGGUCGCAGAACAGAAAUAACAAGUCAGGAGGUCACAGAACAAAAAGAAAAAGUCAGGAGGUCGCAGAACAGAAACAAAAAGCUAGGAGGUCGCAGAACAGAAACAACAAGUCAGGAGGUCGCAGAACAGAAACAACAAGUCAGGAGGUCGCAGAACAGAAACAACAAGUCAGGAGGUCGCAGAACAGAAACAACAAGUCAGGAGGUCGCAGAACAGAAACAACAAGUCAGGAGGUCUCAGAACAGAAACAACAAGUCAGGAGGUCGCAGAACAAAAACAACAAUCUUGCUUCAACAGUGCAGAAAAUAAAUAAUCUGUCCUCUUAGUUUACAAAAAUAAAUGACCGAUC